rnacentral:rRNA from 1 species
UACGAAGGGUGCAAGCGUUACUCGGAAUUACUGGGCGUAAAGCGUGCGUAGGCUGUUUGUUAAGUCCGUUGUGAAAGCCCUGGGCUCAACCUGGGAAUUGCAGUGGAUACUGGCGAGCUAGAGUGCGGUAGAGGAUGGUGGAAUUCCCGGUGUAGCGGUGAAAUGCGUAGAGAUCGGGAGGAACACCCGUGGCGAAGGCGGCCAUCUGGACCAGCACGGACGCUGAGGCACGAAAGCGUGGGGAGCAAACAGG